CGUUCCUCAGCGUGCACAGGGCGAAGACGCUGCCCUCGUGAGCCCCCUGGAUGGCGUGGCUGAUGCGAUUGGUGCCUGCGGGAAGGCAAUGAAAGAGCUAGAGCCCAGUGGAACUGCAGCACAAUGAGCUCCCGUUGGACAAAAAGCAGAGACACAGAUGUGACGGAGCGCUCGCCUCCACGUCCACGGGGGACGGCGCCCGGCGACGCACCUCGAACAGCCCCUGCUUCUUGACCAGCGUGCCUUUCUCCAGGUGCCAGAAGCACAGAUGGGAUUUGCCACAGGUCACCACCACGCUGCUGUCGGUCGGGUGGAAGUCCACAGCAAACACCGACUCGUUGGAGCACUGAAAACGGGACGCGGCCGCUUUAGAGCAGGAGCGAGGUCGCGUCCAGCGCGUGUCUGUUUACGCCUCAUACCUUGACCUCCGCCAGCCGGUCCUCUCUCUGCCAGUCCCACACGGAGAGGACGUGGUCGUUGGAGUCGUCCACCACGCACAGCGUGUUCCCGCCGUUCUAACACACAGAAGCAGAAGGUUCAGAAGGAACCGGCGUCAACCGCGGCGCCGGGCGUCGCAGCGGCGGCGGCGGCGGCCCUACCGACUUGGAGAAGGCCAGGCAGACCGAGGCCCGGUCCAGGAAGCCCGCGCCCAGGACGUGGAGCGUGUUGAGGCUGACGGAGUCCCACACGCGGACAUGAGGCGCCAGCUGCUGCCAGAGCACAAAGACCGGGUCAAAUACAUCAUCAGAACACUGCGGCGCUAGUGAGUGAAACUCACAGUGAAUACAAAGUGGGUUCAGGUCAGAACCAACAGGGUGAAGAGCAAAACUACAUCUCAUAUAAUAAUAAUAAUAAUAAUAAUAAUAAUAAUAAUAAUAAUAAUAAGAAGAAGAAGAAGAAGAAGAAGAGAGGUCUGACUUACUUUUCCGUCUGAAGAGGUUCCCGCCACCUGCCCCGUUGCUAUGGUGAUUUUAUCAGGGUGGACAGCCAGACUGUGGAGAGAGAGAAACGUUAAAACGGCUAAAAGCCUCUCUGACAUCAAACGCAGCGUGCGAAUAAAGAUGAGCGAGCGUUGCGGUCGAACAUAAAAGGCGGCGCUUUGAAGCUCGGAGUGUGAUGUUCGCCGUAGCCGCCGCGCGCCAGCGGAGCGGAUUUGAGCGUUCGGGGGCGGUUCGUCUCCGAGACUCUAGGAAUGGCGGGAAAACGGCUCGUACCACUUGAUGUCGUCCGUGUGGCCCGUGUAGUGUCUCUGCAGCCGCUCGUCCACGUUGAACAGGACCACGACCGAGGCGAUGAAGUACACGGUCUCCCCCGUGGGCAGCAGGUAAAGGUUGGAGCGGCAGUCGCGACCGCGGUAACCGUAGCUGGACACGGGGACGGUCGAGGAACACAACACGUUUUCAUCCUCUUAUUUUUCCCUGUGGGUUUCUGCUGAGGCGCGAGACAACACGCUGCAUUCAUCCCUUCAUCAACCAAUAAAACAAACACAAAAAUCCCCCACGAUCAAAAGGGGAGCUGCUGACUGCUUGUGCCUCGGCCUUCCAGCGGUUAUUACUGGACCCACAGAGCUCCCACGCCGCCUCCGGCCUGGAUUUCGCGCCACCGGCCUGGAUUUCGCGCCUCCCGGCCUGGAUUUCCCGCCACCGGCCUGGAUUUCGCGCCUCCCGGCCCACUGAACCCCCUGCAGGUCAAAGGAUACACCCAGUCCAGCUUGAGUUUGUUGCCGGGCAGCUCGGCUCUGGCCUCCAGGCAGUAGCUGUCCACCUGGUCUUUGGGCAUGAACAUGGUGAUGGGACGACCCUUCAAGUACAUUUUCACAUAACCUUCCUCUAGAAAAGGAAAAGAAAGUCACACGUCAGACGAUUCCACAUUACUGCACGUGGUAUAAUCUGCUCUCAGUUGUCGCAGACAUGAUCACAGGAAAUCUAGCGAUUGUUAUGGUGUGAAUGACGCGAUGGAAGCAGAAUGAAGUCAUGUAUUUUCUUUAAUGUGACUGAAACUCACAUACAGCAAAUGACAACAUUUUCAUUGUCUUUUAAACUAACUUUAUUUCAACCACACAUGACAUAUAACAUUGAACUGCAAACAUUUGGUUAAAAACCACACAACUCAUUCAAUAUCAUUCAGCGGAAAAAGCAUAGGGUUAACUGAAAUAAAAUGCAGACAAAGCGGAGCGAUGGAAAUGUUAUGGAAAAUAAAAACAGAUCCAGUCGUAGAAAUGAUAAUAAAUCCUUGUUGAAUCAAAACAUGCAAAAAAAAUGAAUCAUGCAGAAAACACUGAGGGAAUUCUAACUGAAAAUCCACCUUUUUACAGAUCUCAGGUGAGAAACAGGACGCAGCUACUGUACAGAGUUCGUGAGACUUGGUCAUAAGGCGUGGGCGGGCCUGUGUUCUGGUGCGGAGCGGCCGCCGAGUCACAACAAAGGAACGGCUCCAUCAGCAGUCCGGCGUCCGUGAACCCGGACACCUAAUCCACCCUACGGGAGAAAAGGCUUUUCAAAUCCUAACACUGGCCGUGGCCGUCGUCGUCCCUUCUGGAGGGAGACGUCUGUGUGUAAAGACAACACAAUUAAAAGAGAGAGAAGCCAUGA